CUGCCGUCGCUACUACUGAUUGAAUGGUUUAGCGAGGUUGUUGAAUUGGUGUGGUUGUAGUGACUUCGCCGCUCGACUGAUACCGAGAUGACCUGAUUUGACCAUUUAGAAGAAGGAAAAAUCACAACAAGGUUUACGUAAGUGAACCUGAGGAGG
rnacentral:ncRNA from 1 species